rfam:Tropicibacter litoreus R37 strain CECT 7639 genome assembly, contig: 0006
ACGGACAGCACCUUGGCGAUAUAGGGGAUCAACGGCAGGUUCAGGAUCAGCAGGAUCAGAUUACCGAUGAACAUCGACAUGAUCACAGCCCAGAAGAUCUGCGGCUCAUCAAUCAUCAGGCGCGGGCC